rnacentral:lncRNA from 1 species
AGCAAACUUCUGAUUUAUGCCAUGGUGAUUUUUGUCUGUAUUAGGGCCCCAGUGGAGGUACCAACAAUAUAGAUAUAGCAUCCUCGUGGUAGGGAAAUUACACUGAAAGAUGAAAGAUGUCAGAAAGUGAAGACAAAGUCAGGGUCUUCAGCUGCUCUUAUUUCUACAGCAUCCAAGAAUUCAUAUUAGACUCAGUCAAACACCUUGACUUCAUUUUUACUAGUGUGAAUAUCACUAAUUUGCAGUGAGAUUAGGGUUUUCAAAGGAAUUUGAAUUAUCUAUAAGCUUAAUUCAGUUUGCACUGCUCUGAUACUGCUGACACUGUCAAGAAUCUCACUGUGAGUGCUUACAAAAACCAGAGUGGAGAGUUCCUGUUUUCCAGAAGAAUUUUUAGGAUUUUAGAAGAUGAAGAACUCUCUGCUGGCAGCUAUCUUUUUACUUGUUAGAGACUCCUGCCUCUGCACAGACUGGGACUCUCCGUUCUGCCGGCAGCUGCCAGGUGGGUGGAACGCUCGGCUCCCGGCGCGGUGCCCGGGCUCGGCGGGCGCUGAGGGCUGCUGACAGCCAGGGACCGCCGGCUCUCGGGAAACACGGCCCCUAAAAGCCUUUCCCGAGGGGAACACCUGGCCGGAGCAGCACGGGCAGGUGUGCCUGUGUGACCGCAGGGCGCAGGGCUAACCCGGGCGCUGUGAGUGAAGCCCGCUGAGAGCCGCCGCUCCAAAAGACCGCGGAUGCUCCAAUGUUCCUGUGUGACUGCUGUUUCUGCUUUCCAUUUAACUGGGAACUUACUGAUGAUGGCGAAAAGGAACAGUACAACACAUUUUGAUUGAGAGUAUUACAGAGCAGUGGGUGGUCAUCUGAUGUACUUUGUGCAGGAUUUAAUAUAGGCAGGAACAUCCUGCUUGCUAGCAGACACAGCAGAGAUGACAGGUUCUUGAGAACACCGUGACACCGGGCCAGACAUCUGCAGGAGGACUAUGUUCUUCUGAAAUUAGCCAUGGAUAAUUAUCUAGUCCUUGCAAUUAACCUGCCAGACUAAGCUCCACUAAAUCAUUAGUGAGAAAACCAGAUGCUCAGGAAGAAAAACAGAAAGUUCUAGAGUGAAAAAAAUUAAAGGUGGGUGGUUUGGGGUUUGGUUUGUUUGUUGGUUUGGGUUUUUUUUUUUAACUGGA